rnacentral:snoRNA from 1 species
GGCCUCCUGGUGCUUAUUACAGCUGUGUUCUUACACUGUAUAGAAAGAGGAGGCAAAGUAAACCUACCCCAUAUGCAUCUCAGACCAGGCCGUAUGCCUGGUCUGCAUUGUGAAUGGGGAAACAUGA